ACAGCAAACAAUAAUGACAACAACACAUUAAUUAGUAAGCCAACAGCCAGCUGGCUGUCAACAUAUACAGCACUUCAAUCAGCAACUUGAAUCAAACAAAGCUCUUAUAAAAGUUGAGACAAGAUAACAGGGAAAACGUUAAAAAUAUCAUUAACUGUGAUGUAAUAACGGUCAACGAAAAAAAUACGUUCAAACUAGUGGCGUUGAAACGUUGAUACAUCAACUAUUAAUUAGAUUAACUAUUUAGUGUCGUUGCGGUUUCAACGAAAACUUGAAAAAUAAGCAGUUAAUACGUUGAAACAUUGUAUUCAACGACAGCGUGUUUAUUUAACGUUACAAUUUAUACAGCAAUCUUGGCUGAUUUUUAUUUAUAUCUUCAAUUUUGGGACGAAGGAGUUGGUUGUAAUGAAUGGUGGACAUCGACACUAAAAAACUUGUGAAUACUUUUGAUAGAAGGAAUAGUUGAAACAACAGUUGGCUCCAUAUCUAAUCGAUCAUAUUAGCGUCAUGCUAUCGGCACUCCCGUUGGAAGGGUGGUUGUUUGAGAACAACACCACUAACAGAAUUGUCGUUGGCUGCAGUGGUGGUUUGUGAGCAGAUGUUGGUAUCACUUCCGUUGAUUUGUCGUUGAAAAGAGAGCGGACAUAGACCAUUCUCCUCUUCGUCUUCAGUGCCUGUCACUGAGUCGCUGUUUACUCCCAAAC